rnacentral:rRNA from 1 species
AUUGAACGCUGGCGGCAGGCCUAAUACAUGCAAGUCGAGCGGAAACGAUGGGAGCUUGCUCCCAGGCGUCGAGCGGCGGACGGGUGAGUAACGCGUAGGAAUCUACCCAGUAGCGGGGGAUAGCCCGGGGAAACCCGGAUUAAUACCGCAUACGCCCCACGGGGGAAAGCAGGGGCCCUGUUUCUUUUACGAGAGGCGGACCUUGCACUAUUGGAUGAGCCUGCGUUGGAUUAGCUAGUUGGUGGGGUAAAGGCCUACCAAGGCGACGAUCCAUAGCUGGUCCGAGAGGAUGAUCAGCCACACUGGGACUGAGACACGGCCCAG